rnacentral:rRNA from 1 species
AACCUAAUACAUGCAAGUCGAGCGGACAGAUGGGAGCUUGCUCCCUGAUGUUAGCGGCGGACGGGUGAGUAACACGUGGGUAACCUGCCUGUAAGACUGGGAUAACUCCGGGAAACCGGGGCUAAUACCGGAUGGUUGUUUGAACCGCAUGGUUCAAACAUAAAAGGUGGCUUCGGCUACCACUUACAGAUGGACCCGCGGCGCAUUAGCUAGUUGGUGAGGUAACGGCUCACCAAGGCAACGAUGCGUAGCCGACCUGAGAGGGUGAUCGGCCACACUGGGACUGAGACACGGCCCAGACUCCUACGGGAGGCAGCAGUAGGGAAUCUUCCGCAAUGGACGAAAGUCUGACGGAGCAACGCCGCGUGAGUGAUGAAGGUUUUCGGAUCGUAAAGCUCUGUUGUUAGGGAAGAACAAGUACCGUUCGAAUAGGGCGGUACCUUGACGGUACCUAACCAGAAAGCCACGGCUAACUACGUGCCAGCUACCGCGGUAAUACGUAGGUGGCAAGCGUUGUCCGGAAUUAUUGGGCGUAAAGGGCUCGCAGGCGGUUUCUUAAGUCUGAUGUGAAAGCCCCCGGCUCAACCGGGGAGGGUCUUUGUAAACUGGAAACUUGAGUGCAAAAAAAGAAAGU